CUUCGUUAAGCCGAUCACAACUAGGAAUGGAAGGUACCAAGUCGAUCUGAAGCUUUGGUUCUCUGCAAUCCCUAAUCUGUCCCUUACUGGCACUUCUUCCCAGUCCCGUCAGGUAGAUCAAAGGUCAGAGGUGGAAAUAGGGAGGAAAGGAGGCUGCUUGGAGGACGGUGGUGGGGAUCGAAACGGGAGUGAUGAGGAAUCAGGGGCGGAGGAGCUGAUAAGGUUCGCCGGAGGGAAGCUUUACCAGAGCAACGCGGCUGCGCUUCUCCAGUUCAUCCCGAGAAGUUCUUCGUGUGCCCUUUUUAUGCUGCAGGAACUCUAGCUCAGUCAGUUCUUAAAAGAAGCAUCCAAAUGAUCGAAGGUGGGUGCUCGUCAAACGAACAAACAAGACAAUGAAGCUUUCUUUCGGAAAAAAGAAAGGAAACGAACCCAACAAGAACAACAACAAACAACGCAAGUUCAACCUUGAAGAAGCCCCUGACCUAAUUGCCAUGCACGAAGACAAGCAACAAUCUGAAGGUAACAUCUAUACUGGUUUACAAGAUUUUUAAUGAAGUUGCAUCCAUCUGCACUGUCCUGCCUCCAGACACACGAGUAGUAGUCUGUCUGAUCAAACUGCAGUCGGUUAUAGUGCUGCUAUUGCUCCACGCUCACAAGAAGCAACAACAAAAGCCAGCCUUGUGCUGUCAGCCUUUCUUUCACGACAACUUGUCGCAUCUUUUCAUUGGUUCUUCAUGUAGAGCAGUAUACGAAAAAUCACUAGCAUGAACAACUUAAAUGUGGAAGAUAUAAAGUGUGCCAUUUAACUUGUCCGGGACAACUUUUCUUAAAGCCAUGUAUCUUUCUCACUUCCCAAACUCAGUCCAUCAUUAAUUCCAUUCAACUGAUGCCAUCUCCCGCACUUCAAUGUCUCAUCAUCAUAAUCUCGAUGCCAAGUAUCCGAAAGCAAUCUCUUUCUUUCACUCACUGUGAGUGUCUUGCCCCCGACAAGCAUCGGACACUUUGGUUUGUGGGCAAGAAAACCUGGAGAGAAUACAUGGGGCUGGGCAAAGGACACAAUGAUGCUAAAGCAACGGAGGAGGAGGCGGGGGCGGUGGCGGUGGCGGUGGCGAAGCAAAACAGCUAGCAGCUCUCCUUAUCCAUCACUUUUUUGCUGAGUGUGUCAGUGAAUGAAUGCUUCUACUUCCUCUUUCCAUUUAUUGUGCCCUGAUCUGAUCUGUAAAGGGUAAAUGACUGAGAAAUCACCAUGCUCAUGUAUUCGUAAUUCUGUCUGAGUUUGAGAAUGACAUAAAUGAUGGGAUUAGUCA